rnacentral:rRNA from 1 species
UACGUAGGGGGCAAGCGUUGUCCGGAAUCAUUGGGCGUAAAGCGCGUGUAGGCGGCCAGGUAAGUCCGUUCUGAAAGCCCGGGGCUCAACCCCGGGAGGCGGAUGGAUACUGCUUGGCUCGAGUCCGGAAGAGGCGAGUGGAAUUCCCGGUGUAGCGGUGAAAUGCGCAGAUAUCUGGAGGAAUACCGGUGGCGAAGGCGGCAUCCUGGACCGGCAUUGACGCUGAGGAGCGAAAGCUAGGGGAGCAAACGGG